ACAAUUAAUUACUGUACUAAUGAAAAGCUGGCCAUUUUGACUAAGCAUUAAGUUAUUACUUUUAUAUUGUAAAUAUUUAUCUUUUUUAUUUCUUUCCUUGCUUACAGGAAAAUUAGUGACUCGUGUGUUACAAACAAUAGUUUUUAAGGGAAACAAUGUGAAAUAAUUUGUAUAGAUGAUCCUGGAGCAAAGGCAGUAAUUUGACCUGAACCCAAAUUGGUCUCUAUUUUAAAUAUUGUCUUGAACCAAUAAGUUAAGAGGACUAACCUUUCUGGACGACAUUGCCAUCGACAUCACAGCAGAUGAGAGAGAAAGAGAGACCAGAGUUGUGGACCCUGGAGGCAAUUACCAUACUGCCGUGAUAAUGUUCCUUGGUCUAACCAUAACUUAAGUGAGAACUGAAGCCUACCAGUAAAAUGGGGGCGUUGUAAUUAAUAUCCUCCGACAUUGGAGAAUACAGGGGAGAGGAGAUGGAGGAUGGGGCGAAGUAAAGACUAAGAUUGAAGAGAACUAACUAAUGGCCUGAUGACAGGGUGGAUGGCGAUGGAGGCAUGGAGGUUGGGGGAGAGGAGGCUGAAGAAGUGGAGACAAAUCAGUUUAGAUCCAUUAUGUUGAUUAGUUUAACAUUUAUUUUGAACAUCAGUAUUUAAAUUUUUUUCUCAUUUAGAUUAUUAAAUUAAAUUAAUUUUAUUGUUUUUAUGAAGAUGUUUUCUUACAUUUUUAAUAUUUGUUUGUACUUCUGCCUGGUAAAAAAAUACUGUUUUCCUACAGUUACCUAACAAUGUACAUGUUCUCUCACUGAUUUGAGAAAGCAAAGUGGCCAAUUCGCUCAUCAGUGAGACAAUGUUAACAUUGUCUCACUCUAAUUACUUUGUCUCACUCCAGAUUUGCAACGUGAAGGCACAAAAUAGUGAGCGCGUAACAUGCAGACAAGGUUGUAUGUGCGCGAAAUACGUUGGCAGCACUGGCUGUAAAUCAGCUGGUCAGCUGUUUUACUGUUGUAUCAUUAAAUGUCAUAUUAAAAGUUCACCUCUGUGUAAAAAUAUGUCACGUUUCUUUACCAAUUUAUUUGUUUUAUGGUAACUGUAGGAAAAAUAUAAUGUGCAGCUCGAGUGCGAAGUGCAAUUGCCUCACUCGAGAAACCAUUCCUCACUCGCCUACGGCUCGUGAGUAAGUAUUUCUCUCGAGUGAGUCAAUUUAUCACUUUGCUCACUAGUGGCACAAAUAACUAUUAUUAUCUUUGUUAAAAUGAUUACUUUCACUAACUGACCUUGUCUUGGGUAAAAAGCGAUAUCUUGAUAUUUUUCACUAGCGGGGUGCCUGUUCUAUGGGCGGGGAUUGUAUAAGUCAGUAGAAACCUUCUUAUAUUUCGAUACUUGGAAAAUUAAUCAUUUCCAACUUUAUAUAGUAUAGAUCGCUAUUCCUGUAUUGAUGUACUGAAAUGAAAUGUUGUUUUUUUUAUAUAUUUUGAUGACACACUAUUAAAAAGGCAUAGCAAUAUUCUAAAGUUUAUAACAGCUUAUGUUUGUGUUUUUAUUAAUGAUUUAUUGUGACUUUUGAGUGAUUGAAGGAUUUGUGAUUUGGUUUUAAGGAGAUUGAUGUACCUAAUUUUGUAUCUAUACUUAUUAAAUAGGUACGCAAGCAG